GGGAGUACGGCCGCAAGGUUAAAACUCAAAUGAAUUGACGGGGGCCCGCACAAGCGGUGGAGCAUGUGGUUUAAUUCGAUGCAACGCGAAGAACCUUACCUGGUCUUGACAUCCACGGAAGUUUUCAGAGAUGAGAAUGUGCCUUCGGGAACCGUGAGACAGGUGCUGCAUGGCUGUCGUCAGCUCGUGUUGUGAAAUGUUGGGUUAAGUCCCGCAACGAGCGCAACCCUUAUCCUUUGUUGCCAGCGGUCCGGCCGGGAACUCAAAGGAGACUGCCAGUGAUAAACUGGAGGAAGGUGGGGAUGACGUCAAGUCAUCAUGGCCCUUACGACCAGGGCUACACACGUGCUACAAUGGCGCAUACAAAGAGAAGCGACCUCGCGAGAGCAAGCGGACCUCAUAAAGUGCGUCGUAGUCCGGAUUGGAGUCUGCAACUCGACUCCAUGAAGUCGGAAUCGCUAGUAAUCGUGGAUCAGAAUGCCACGGUGAAUACGUUCCCGGGCCUUGUACACACCGCCCGUCACACCAUGGGAGUGGGUUGCAAAAGAAGUAGGUAGCUUAACCUUCGGGAGGGCGCUUACCACUUUGUGAUUCAUGACUGGGGUGAAGUCGUAACAAGGUAACCGUAGGGGAACCUGCGGUUGGAUCACCUCCUU
rnacentral:rRNA from 1 species